rnacentral:rRNA from 1 species
UACGUAGGGGGGCAAGCGUUGUCCGGAAUUAUUGGGCGUAAAGAGCUCGUAGGCGGUCUGUCGCGUCGAUCGUGAAAACUUGGGGCUUAACCCUGAGCUUGCGGUCGAUACGGGCAUGACUGGAGUUCGGCAGGGGAGACUGGAAUUCCUGGUGUAGCGGUGAAAUGCGCAGAUAUCAGGAGGAACACCGGUGGCGAAGGCGGGUCUCUGGACAGUUCCUGACGCUGAGGCACGAAGGUCAGGGGAGCAAACGGG